rnacentral:lncRNA from 1 species
AAAAGGAGAGGGGGCUGGCCCAAAGGCAAGAAAAGGAAGCCCCUGAGGGACCUUUCUGUUCCCCGCGCUCCUACGACAGGGUAAGACAGGCCGAUGACCUGACCAGGGUUAAGGUCACAUGUGACUGUGCCGUGCCGAGUGUGGCCUCGGGCCCAUCUCAGCUUUUAUCCAGUUUUUAGGAAACUGGAUUGUUAGGGGGCCUCACACCACAGGGCCUGAGGGCCGGCUGUUUAGUUCUCUCAGCUAUAACAGUGUUCUGAUGCUCAAAGGAGAGCUGGGCUUGGGUCACAGACAGGAAAGGGGAUGGCUGUGGGGCCCAGGGGUCUGGUAUCCCUUCCAGGCUUACAGAAAUGGGGGCUCCGGGGCCUCUAAGAGCUGGUUAACCUUCAUCAAGGCUCGAAACGCCCCUCCCAGUGCCCUGAGACUUUGUCCCUUGUCCCCUGGCAUCUUGGGAUGCAGAAGAGUGGUCCACACCAGCCACUUCCCACUGCUCUCAAGGUCACCUUGCUCUUCUGGAAGGUUGCAAGCUCUUCUCUUUAUCCUCAGGGUUUCCACGUUCCUAAGAGUGAGGGUCUUUAUCAUGUAAUACCUGUGGGUGGGCCUCUUGGUCCCAAGACUGUAUUGUCUUAACUCCAACGCCCCUCCCCCUCUCCCUGGACAUGAAUCCUUCUUCUUCAGGAGGGUGGGAGGGCCUGUACCUGGAGCAUGCAGGCCACGUAACACCUGUGAGCAGCUGGCAUUACGUCCAUUACACAGAGGAGGAAACUGAGGCUCCUGUGGGAUGAGUGCCUUGCCCACCCAGUCUUCAUGUGUCUCAUGCCCCUCCCGCAGGGGGCCUCUUCUGCCUCCUUCCUCUUUCACCAGUCUCUGGAUAAACCAGUCAUUUUCCCCUCUUAAUGGUUAGAUUAAAAAUAUGGUCAACCUCAUGGCUAUUUAUUUUUAUGAAAACCAGAAAAUGGCAGGAGCUGCAGCAGACCCGGCUGACUGCCGUCCCAGCCGGCUGCCCAGAGCUGUUGUGUUCGUUCCAUUCCUGGCGCAGGUACGCGAUCUUCCUAAACGAGCAGAGAAGUCAGCUGAGGGCCGAGCACCCAGAUCUGCCUUUUACGGAAAUCACGAAGAUGCUGGCUGUGCAGUGGGCUCAGCUGUCUCAUGAGAAAAAGCGGCUGCCGUGCCGGAGGUCCUCCAAAGCCAAGUUCAAAGCCUGCCUUACACCGUUAUCAGCUGUCCCCUCAGUGGGCCUCAAGUCCCUGCAGGUAUAG